GAGAAAGAAAGGAUGGCCAAGUGUCCACAUUCUUACUUAAAGGGCCUAAGUGUAUAUAUAAAGAAGUGGUGGCUAAAAUGAAACAAGUAAGUCAUCUUUUAUUUAAGAGAAUUCAAGAAAAAGGAUGAAAGCUCUAGAAGAAGAAAAAAAAAAUGAAUAAAGAGAGCAUGUGCUUCUCACAUGCUUGAAGAAGCCAAGUAUAUAUAUAGAUAGGAGAGGUCAUCUUUUUAAAUCAAGAAGUUGUAGAGAAAGGAAAAAAAAAUAUAGAAGAAGAAGAAAGAGGAGGGGCCAAUUCGGCCAAGAAGGAGGAGAAAGAGAAGACCAAAAAUCUUGCCCCAAAAAUUUAUUUCUCAUAGUAUUUCUACUAAUUCAAAGAUGCUCUCCAACAUGGUAUAAUUGUUGAAGCAAGAGAAUUAUUCUUUGGUGCAAAACUCCAACCUUAGCUAAGUUGAGAAGUUGUGAAGGAAAGAUUUUGGUGAAUUUGGAGCUUGAGUUUGGAGAAGCAAAAGGAGCGGAAAAGGUACUCCCAGAUGAUUAGAAGACCUUACUAAAGAUGUUCCAGCGGAGAU